rnacentral:tRNA from 1 species
UCCCUGGUUGUCCAGUGGUUAGGACUUGGCGCUUUCACUGCUGAGGGCCCAGGUUCAAUCCUUGGUCAGGGAA